CAGCCGCCGCGGGAAUACAUAGGGUGCGAGCGUUAAUCGGAUUUACUGGGCGUAAAGCGUGCGUAGGCUGCUAAUUGAGUCGGAUGUGAAAUCCCCGAGCUUAACUUGGGAAUUGCAUUCGAUACUGGUUAGCUAGAGUGUGGGAGAGGAUGGUAGAAUUCCAGGUGUAGCGGUGAAAUGCGUAGAGAUCUGGAGGAAUACCGAUGGCGAAGGCAGCCAUCUGGCCUAACACUGACGCUGAGGUACGAAAGCAUGGGGAGCAAACAGGAUUAGAUACCCGUGUAGUCCCUGUCUCUUAUAC
rnacentral:rRNA from 1 species